GCCCUGGUGGCGUAAUGGUUAGGCACUUGGCUGCUAGCCAAAAGGUUGGUGGUUCGAACCCAGCCAGGGGCU
rnacentral:tRNA from 1 species